rnacentral:rRNA from 1 species
UACGAAGGGUGCCAACGUUGCUCGGAAUUAUUGGGCGUAAAGCGCACGUAGGCGGCUUGGCAAGUCGGAUGUGAAAUCCCUCGGCUCAACCAAGGAAGUGCAUCCGAAACUGCCGAGCUUGAGUACUUAAGAGGAUCGCGGAAUUCCCGGUGUAGAGGUGAAAUUCGUAGAUAUCGGGAGGAACACCAGUGGCGAAGGCGGCGAUCUGGGAAGAUACUGACGCUGAGGUGCGAAAGCGUGGGGAGCAAACAGG